ensembl:lncRNA
CUAGAGACAAGACCUCUGGUAACAUGGAUCAUAUUAUAUAACUGUUUAGACUAGAGACAAGACCUCUGGUAACAUGGAUCAUAUUAUAUAACUGUUCAGACUAGAGACAAGAUGUUUUCUUUGCUGUAAAGCUGCAUGUUGAGAAGCAGUGCUCCACGUUCCCUCUCUGACCCUCCGAGGCUGCAUGUUGAGAAGCAGUGCUCCACGUUCCCUCUCUGACACUCCGAGGCUGCAUGACAGUGAACUUGCAAAGUCUACUCAGACUGGUCUGUGCUCUUGGCUAUAACAGGCGAUGAAAUUAUACAAUGUAUCAAAAUUGCUCGCUUUGCGCACUGCUCCAUUGUAACAAAUGUACACAUCUAACAACAGAAGGCCCAUCAGGGUCUGAGUCUGCAUCCCCGCUGACUGAGAAGCAGGUGAGUGAGGGCUGGUAGGGAAGUCUGAGAGAAGCAGCUGAGUGAGGGCUGGUAGGGAAGGCUGAGAGAAGCAGCUGAAUGAGGGCUGGUAGGGAAGUCUGAGAGAAGCAGCUGAGUGAGGGCUGGUAGGGAAGGCUGAGAGAAGCAGCUGAAUGAGUGCUGGUAGGGAAGGCUGAGAGAAGCAGCUGAAUGAGUGCUGGUAGGGAAGUCUGAGAGAAGCAGCUGAGUGAGGGCUGGUAG